rnacentral:rRNA from 1 species
CCUACGAGUAGCAGCAGUGAGGAAUAUUGGUCAAUGGACGGAAGCCUGAACCAGCCAAGUCGCGUGAGGGAUUAAGGCCCUGCGGGUCGUAAACCUCUUUUGCCGGGGAGCAGUGGUCCGGACGCGUCCGGACCGGGAGAGUACCCGGAGACAACGCAUCGGCUAACUCCGGGCCAGAAGCCGCGGUAAUACGGGGGAUGCGAGCGUUAUCCGGAUUUAUUGGGUUUAAAGGGUGCGUAGGCGGGCAUUUAAGCCGGCGGUCAAAUUUCGGGGCUGACCCCCGGCCUGCCGUCGGAACUGGGUGCCUAGAGUGGGCGAGAAGUAGGCGGAAUGUGUGGUGUAGCGGUGAAAUGCAUAGAGAGCACGCAGAACCCCGAUUGCGAAGGCAGCAUACCGGCGCCCUACUGACGCUGAGGCACGAAAGUGCGGGUAUUGAACAGGAUUAGAUACCCGGGUAGUC